CUAGACUAAGCUUUUCGAUCGCUAUACUGAGCUGCCAACUCAAGAUAAUAGGAAAGGAAAUCCGCCUAGAUCUAAAUCAGACUUAGUAAAAGAAGGUAAAGAGUAAGCUGACUAGGCUAAGAUUCUAAAUAACUUCUAGCUAUAUUGAGCUGCUCACUCGAAAUAUACGCCUAGAUCUGAAGUCAGACGACAAAGUAAAAAGUAACUGACUAGACUAAGC